rnacentral:lncRNA from 1 species
GGAAGACAUUUUAUAUAUCGCAACGGAUUAGCAAGAUUACAUACGCAAGCAACCCAACCGAGUAGUCCCAGCAUCAGUUUCCUCUUCAAGCACAGAGUGACAACUGCAGCAUUUUGGAGGCCAAUCAUACUCUCCAUCUACGACCCACUCUGAAUAGGAGCGGAUCUGAAAUUGGGAUUUCUUAAAGGAAAUACAAAAUGAUGGAAGACAGAAGAAAGCAAGCAGACCUCCAACAGCCCAACAAGAAUGUUAUAGAAAAUAAAAAUUGAAUUGAAACAAUGCAGGAAGGUAGAUAGCAUAAUCCAGAUUCCGAGAA